ensembl:lncRNA
AUUUACGUAUUUUUAUUGUGACUCAUCACCACCUGAGUAAACUAUAUUUCACUGAAUUUCGACUGUUCUCUAUACAGCGUAGCCUGCUGAUGAUAAGGUCAGGCUGUUAUAGGACUUACAAGUUAGAUCAGUUCCUUCUUUUGACUAUGAAUUUGUUUGCUGUUUUGCUUUCUGUUUGCAGCCAAAAUGACCGCCUUUCUUUGCAAUUGCUAUUCUGAAUAAAAGCUUUGACAUUUCCCAUAUUCUCUCCUUCUCUCUCCCAGUUCAAGUUGAUGAAGGAAGAGAGCAAGAACUCUACUAUUAUACUUCUUUUCUAAUGUAGCUGCAUGAAACUUGAUUCAGUAACUCCUUGGAGCUUGAUACCAAUGACAAAUAAGCUCAUCUGAAGCUCAUUAUCAAUACCAGUUUCCACCUGGUCUGGAUAACUAAAGAUUCCUGAAAUUGCAGACCUACUCAUAGCAUCUUCUACCCUAAAUAUCCUGAAUGGGUUAAUAAUUGUCUUGCUAAAAUACUGAGAGGAGCAGAACUGAUGAAGACUCAAAUACUUGGAUUCUGUGCUAUUGAAUCAGGCUGAAGCGAUGCCAAGAGGAAACAUCAAGACAUCAAAAUAAAUGCUGUAUGCGUUCUUAAAAUACAAGAAAUCAAGUGAGAUUUUGGAGCCAUAAAAUUAGAAGGGUUAAGGUUUGGAAGGGCACUGCCCAGAGCAUCAGCUGCUGUGCGCUGAGAGGAAGCAUGAGGACCCUGUGGGUGCCCAAAGAGGCUUUUGUGUCCAGAUCUGUGUUAAAGAUAAAUGAAAUCUUCUACAGUGAAGAACUGCAAGAGUUAGACAAGUUCUGUGAACUUUACCUUUGCAGUAGAUAAGAAAUAUAACUCGCAAUAUCCAAGUCUUCAUCAUUCAUCUGAAAAUCCCUAGGUGCUGUGAAUUUAAUUUUUCUCAAUCUCUUCUUUAUUGUUUCAUUUCCAAGACAAAUUUGAGGUUUUAAAGAACUUUAAAUAAGUAUGUGCUGCAUCUCUUUCUCUUUUUUUCUUGUUUGUUAUGUAAAUUCUUAAUUGCACUGCAGUUUGAACCAGCUCCAGGUGUUAUUUAAGAGGGAGAAGAUUUUGUAGAAUAAUUGUAAUAUGAUGCAGCUGAAUUGAAACAAAU